CAAGCUGCAAACACUGUGCAAGUGACGGCCUACGCCAAGGUCGACGCCGUCCAUGUCGAUGCGGUGAAGCAGCGGCCGGGCGUCCCCGUGCUGGUGCGCGUCGUCGCGCCACCGCCGGCGGCGGCGUCAUCGGAGCGCGCCCCGAUUGACCUCGUCGCGGUGCUCGACGUCAGCUGCUGCGGCGGGCUGGGGCCGGUGAACCGGAUGGAUCUCCUCAAGAAGGCCAUGGGCUUCGUCAUCGACAAGCUCGGCGAGCAUGACCGCCUCGCCGUCGUCCCCGUCCAGGCCUCCGCCGCCAUCGCCGAGAAGCACGAUCUCGUGGAGAUGAACGCUGAGGGACGGAAGGAGGCCACUAGGAUGGUGCAGUCGUCACCGGGGUUCAUCGUCCUCAUCUCCGACGGCGACGACGCCUCCGUCCUCAACGAUGCCAUGAACCUCAACUGCUCCGUCCACGCCUUCGGCUUCCGCGACGCCCACAACGCAAGGGCCAUGCACCGCAUCGCCAACACCUCGGCCGGCACCUACGGCAUCCUCAACGACGGCCACGACGGGCUCGCCGACGCCUUCGUCACCAGCGUCGGCAACAUCACCUCCAUCGUCGCCGUCGACGCGGAGGUCAGCGUCUCCUGCAGCGGCGCGGAGUCGACGGCGGCGAAGCUGACGGCCAUCGAGUCCGGCAGGUUCAAGCACGACAUCAAUGGUGGCGGAAAGCGCGGCACCAUCCAGGCCGGCGCCCUCCAGGCCGGCGCGGUGAGGAGCUUCCUCGUCUACGUGGACAACGUCGGCGACGACGAGCUCGAACACCUGCCGAGCAUGCUCACCGUCGGCGUGCAGUACGAGGACCGUUCGACGACGACGUCGCAGAACGCGGCGGAGAACCAGGCCGGGCGAGAGAUGGCACGGCGAACCGCCCAGGUCGUCGUCGUCAGGGACGGCGACGAGCACUCGAGGUUGGUGGCGGCGGAGAUCGUCCGCGUCGCGGCGAUGAGGAUCGUCGGCGAGAUCAUCAAAAAUUACGGCGACAACGGGAGGGCGCUCGCCGGCGCCGCCGACGAGCUGCACAAGCAGUGGAGCCUCCUGAAGAAGUCGGAGUUCGCCAAGGAGGCCGCCCCGGCGUGCUUCGUCUCCGCGCUCGACGCGGAGAUGUCGGAGAUGGAGGCCACCCUGCGCCGGAGCUCCGGCAUGUCGUACAUGCUGUCGUGGCAGACCUGCCACUCCCUGCAGCACCUGCAGCACGCGCGUUCGUCGUCGUCGCCGUCGGCGACGACGUCGGUGGCGGCGGCGGCGAAGGGGAACGGCGGCGCGUCGGCUGUGGCGGCGGCAGCGCGGCAGAGCUUCACGGCGGGAGGGGCGGCGGCGAUGGGCAAGUUCGUGUGGUCCGGAGCUCAUCACGGCGGCGGCGGCGGCGGCGGCGAGAGGAAGCGCAAGUACCAGAGCUCGGAGAUGGAGAUGAUCGAGCAGCGGCUGGCGUACUGGACCAAGGUGAAGUGCGAGCUGCCGCCGAUGCAUCACGACGGCGAGUGCCCCGACCACAUGACCACCAUCUUCCGCGAUGCCUCCCGCGACUCCAUCGACCGCGCCAUACAAGCAGGGUGGAAGCACUCCGUGUACUGUGACCCAGCAAGAUCCGGGCCGUUCGCUCCAGUGUCAGCUCUGGCGAGUGACAAGGUACAGCUGAGCACUUUCCCGAGGGUGGACGCGAUCCCCCGUCGGGAAUGCCACCCGCGUCUCCCGGUGCUGGUGCGCGUCGCCGUGCCGGCGACGGCGGCGCGCCGUGCACCGGUUGACCUCGUCACCCUGCUCGACAUCAGCUGCGGCGGCGGCGGCGGCGCGCCGGCGAGGAGGCUGGACCUGCUGAGGAAGGCGAUGGACCUCGUCAUUGGAAACCUCGGCGCCGACGACCGCCUCGCCAUCGUGCCGUUCCACUCCUCCGUCGUCGACGCCACCGGCCUUCUCGAGAUGUCCGUCGAGGGACGGGGCGUCGCGAGCCGGAAGGUGCAGUCGCUGGCCGUCGCCGGCGGCACCAAGCUGUUCCCGGCGUUGAACGCGGCCGUCGAGAUCCUGGAGGCGCGGUGCUGGGAGGCGAAGCGCGAACGCGUCGGCGCCGUCGUCCUCAUCUCCGACGGCGACGACCGCACCAUCUUCCGCGAGGCCAUCAACCCCAGGUACCCCGUCCACGCCUUCGGCUUCCGCGGCGCGCACGACGCGAGGGCCGUGCACCACGUCGCCGACCACACCUCCGGCGUGUACGGCGUCCUCGACGACGAGCACGACAGGGUCACCGACGCGUUCGCGGCGUGCGUCCGCCGCGUCACCUCCGUCGUCGCCGUCGACGCGCAGGUCGACCUCACCUGCGGCGCCUACUCCAGGGCGUCGCUCCUGGCCGUCGAGAGGAGCGGGGACCACAGGGCCCACGUCGACGAGGACCGGAGGUCCGGGUUCAUCUACGCCGGCGCGCUCUGCGCCGGCGACGUCAAGAACUUCCUCGUGUACGUCGACGUCGACCGGGAGGCCGACGGCGGCGGCGUCACCGAGCUGCUCACCGCGCACGGCACGUACAUGGACGCGGCGAGGAGGAAGGAGACGACCGUGCACCUGGACGAGCGGAUGGCCGUGGUGCAGAGGCGCGACAAGGUCCCCGACGUGUCCCGCGACGUCGCGGCGGAGCUGGUCCGCGUCGACACGGUCAAGAUGGUCGCCGUCGUGCUCGACAGGUUCAAGGACAAGGGGAGCGCCGCCGCCGCCAUGGAGCUCCGUGAGGGGUGGUGCCGCGUCAAGGCCUCCGAGGACGCGCGUGCCGCCGGCGCGGCGAGCCUCGCCGUCCUCGAGAGGGAGAUCGAGGAGAUGGAGGCCAGCCUGGUCCGGUGCACCGGGCUGUCCACCAUGCUCUCCUGGCUCAAUCGCCACAAGCUUCAGCUGCACACCGCCGCCGCCGCCGCCGCGACGGCGAGGGUUUCCCCGGCGCCACCGUCGUCGUCCAACGUGGUGGCGGACGCUAUCACAGCCGGCGAGGGGCACGUGAAGGAGGUUGCUGGCGUCGCCGUCGUCUCCGGCGGUACGAAGCGCAAGUGCGUGGAGAUGGACAUGAUCGAGGAGAGGCUUGCCUACUGGUCCAAGGUGAAGCACGACCUGCCGCUCAUGUUCCCGGACCACGCGGCGGCAGCGGCGACGGCGGCGGCGGCGGCGGCGGCGGAGGGUACGGCGAGCACCGGCGACCACGUGGCGGCGGUGUUCCGCGACGCCUCGUUGGAGACCAUCAACCGCGCCAUGUUCCACGACGUCUACUUGGUACGUGCUGACUCGUUUCGUUGCCCCUUAUAA
rnacentral:lncRNA from 1 species